rnacentral:lncRNA from 1 species
CAGAGAGGGAGGAGAGUGUGGGCCCCCUUGGCACAGCUGUGGUUGAGAACACGGGGGCCCCCUCCCAAGCCUAGCACCCCUUUGUACAGAUGCAUGGGAGUGAACAACACUGCUGAGCUUCCCUGCACUGUAGACCCCCCCAGCCCCUGACCCAACAGCUCAGAAAAUGCUCUGUCAGCAACCUCCACAUCCCCAUCCGCCCUCCGGGGCCAGAGGCCAAGAGGACACAUGGGCCUUCGGCCGCCUUCCAAGAUGGCCAGCCUCCAGCUCUGCCUGUCACCACGGGCCAGCUGCCAGGCACAGAGGUAAAUACAUCUGAGAGCCCUCGGCCUAAGCCUCUUCAUGUCCUCCCAGGGCCGACCUGGGCGCCCCUUCCCCACUACACCAACCCA